rnacentral:rRNA from 1 species
GACGAACGCUGGCGGCGUGCUUAACACAUGCAAGUCGAACGGAAAGGCCCUGCUUUUGUGGGGUGCUCGAGUGGCGAACGGGUGAGUAACACGUGAGUAACCUGCCCUUGACUUUGGGAUAACUUCAGGAAACUGGGGCUAAUACCGGAUAGGAGCUCCUGCUGCAUGGUGGGGGUUGGAAAGUUUCGGCGGUUGGGGAUGGACUCGCGGCUUAUCAGCUUGUUGGUGGGGUAGUGGCUUACCAAGGCUUUGACGGGUAGCCGGCCUGUGAGGGUGACCGGCCACAUGGGGACUGAGAUACGGCCCAGAAGCCUACGGGAGGCAGCAGUGGGGAAGAUUGCACAAUGGGAGGAAGCCUGAUGCAGCAACGCCGCGUGCGGGAUGACGGCCUUCGGGUUGUAAACCGAUUUCGCAUGUGACGAAGCGUGAGUGACGGUAAUGGGUAAAGAAGCACCGGCUAACUACGUG